AAACUUUGCAAUGUGCGAAAGCACGACAAGGUUAAUCCGAGUGGUUUCUGCUAAAGGAACCUUUUGUUAGUCCUAAAAACACUAACGAAUAAGGGGUGGGCAAGUUCUGGUGUCAGCCGCCGCGGUAAAACCAGCACCUCAAGUGGUCAGGAUGAUUAUUGGGCCUAAAGCAUCCGUAGCCUGCUCUGUAAGUUUUCGGUUAAAUCUGUAUGCUCAACAUACAGGCCGCCGGGAAUACUGCAGAGCUAGGGAGUGGGAGAGGUAGACGGUACUCGGGAGGAAGUGGUAAAAUGCUUUGAUCUCUCGAUGACCACCUGUGGCGAAGGCGGUCUACCAGAACACGUCCGACGGUGAGGGAUGAAAGCUGGGGGAGCAAACCGGAUUAGAUACCCGGGUAGUCCCAGCUGUAAACUAUGCAAACUCAGUGAUGCAUUGGCUUGUGGCCAAUGCAGUGUUGCAGGGAAGCCGUUAAGUUUGCCGCCUGGGAAGUACGUACGCAAGUAUGAAACUUAA
rnacentral:rRNA from 1 species